UCAAUGUGUCUAAAAUGUAUAAAAGUUAAAUAAUUUAAUAAGUAAUGCAUGUAAUGUAUGCAACUUUUAAUUUUUUUUUUAGUUGUCUCAAAACUAACAAAAUAUGACUUAUGGUCUAAAAUUGCCGACCAAGUUUCUGUUGUUGGUUCUGAUAGAACAGUGAAACAGUGCAAAAAGAAAUUAUCCGAUCAAAAGUCGGACAGUAAGGCAAAGGCAGCUCGUAUUUCUUCUAGUUUAUAUAAGACAGGAAGAGGUGAAGGCAACAGCAAAGAACUGAGCUCAAUUGAUCAAGUAUUGAUCAACAAAAUGCCUAAAGUGUCAUAGAUGUUAUAUUAAAGUGUCAUACAUGGUAUAUUAUGACUUAUAUAAAAGUUUACCUUUUUACCUAUAUUUUUUUAUAAGUUAGUAAAAUAGGUUUCUGAAGAUUAGUUGAAUCUUAAACUGAUGUUUUUUUAAACUUUAAAUCCUCAACUUUCAAACCUAACUAUAAUAUUUAUAAAAAUAUUUGAGAAAGUUUUAUAAGAAUUACGGUUCGUUAUUUUAGGGAAUUCCAGGUGGGAUAGACACUCAUCAAAAGCUUUGCAUAGUAGAUCCCAAUGAGGAAGUUAAUUUUGACAUAAUAACGGGAAACUUUGUACUGCAACCCGUAGAAAAAAUGGAUACUCAGUUUAUUGAAACAACAAAUAUCAAAACUACUUAUGAAAUGUGUAAGAUAGAGCAAUUUAAUGAGUAUAUCAUAAAAUAUGUAUUCCUCAACCAAAUGAGAAAGAGGAUUGCAUCAGGAGAAAAACUCCAUUGCGAAAGUCUUUAUCUUCACUGGCUAAAUUGUCUUCAUCAUCACUCUCUCAGCUACAGACUACGCCUGAUCGCUCGACAACUGAAGUUCGCCUAGCAAGUUCUUUCCCAUCUACGGAUCCUGCGUUAAUAUUACAAAAUGAAUCUGCCAUUGUAAAUUCGUUACUAAAGAAUAAG